rnacentral:rRNA from 1 species
CGGACGGGUGAGUAAUGCUUGGGAAUCUGGCUUAUGGAGGGGGAUAACUACGGGAAACUGUAGCUAAUACCGCAUAAUAUCGAAAGAUUAAAGGGUGGGACUUUCGGGCCACCUGCCAUGAGAUGAGCCCAAGUGGGAUUAGGUAGUUGGUUAGGUAAAGGCUGACCAAGCCGACGAUCUCUAGCUGGUCUGAGAGGAUGACCAGCCACACUGGAACUGAGACACGGUCCAG